rnacentral:rRNA from 1 species
CCUACGGGAGGCAGCAGUGGGGAAUAUUGGACAAUGGGCGGAAGCCUGAUCCAGCCAUGCCGCGUGUGUGAAGAAGGCCUUUUGGUUGUAAAGCACUUUAAGCGAGGAGGAGGCUACUAGUAUUAAUACUACUGGAUAGUGGACGUUACUCGCAGAAUAAGCACCGGCUAACUCUGUGCCAGCAGCCGCGGUAAUACAGAGGGUGCGAGCGUUAAUCGGAUUUACUGGGCGUAAAGCGUGCGCAGGCGGCUGAUUAAGUCGGAUGUGAAAUCCCUGAGCUUAACUUAGGAAUUGCAUUCGAUACUGGUCAGCUAGAGUAUGGGAGAGGAUGGUAGAAUUCCAGGUGUAGCGGUGAAAUGCGUAGAGAUCUGGAGGAAUACCGAUGGCGAAGGCAGCCAUCUGGCCUAAUACUGACGCUGAGGUACGAAAGCAUGGGGAGCAAACAGGAUUAGAUACCCUGGUAGUCCAUGCCGUAAACGAUGUCUACUAGCCGUUGGGGUCUUUGAGACUUUAGUGGCGCAGCUAAACGCGAUUAAAGUAGACCGCCUGGGGAGUUACAGUCGCAAGACUUAAAACUUCAAAAGGAAUUGACGGCNGAGAGNGCGAGACGACACAGGGAAGGAAGG